rnacentral:rRNA from 1 species
AAAAGAACCCCGGCGAGGGGAGUGAAAAAGAACCUGAAACCGUGUACGUACAAGCAGUGGGAGCACCUUCGGGGUGUGACUGCGUACCUUUUGUAUAAUGGGUCAGCGACUUAUAUUCUGUAGCAAGGUUAACCGUAUAGGGGAGCCGCAGGGAAACCGAGUCUUAACUGGGCGUUAAGUUGCAGGGUAUAGACCCGAAACCCGGUGAUCUAGCCAUGGGCAGGUUGAAGGUUGGGUAACACUAACUGGAGGACCGAACCGACUAAUGUUGAAAAAUUAGCGGAUGACUUGUGGCUGGGGGUGAAAGGCCAAUCAAACCGG